UAAUAAUCUGCCUUGUUCCUAAAUGCUGCAGUGAUAUUAUAUAGAUUAGCGUAGUAGGUGGCGCUCUGUAGUUUCUGUAUACCAUCAGAUGUAUGAAUUUGGUGGAAGCUAAAGAAGUAUGUAAGGAGCGUAGUAGGUGGCGCUCUGUAGUUUCUGUAUACCAUCAGAUGUAUGAAUGUGAUGGAAGCUAAAGAAGUAUGUAAGGAGCGCAGUAGGUGGCGCUCUGUAGUUUCUGUAUACCAUCAGAUGUAUGAAUGUGGUGGAAGCUAAAGAAGUAUGUAAGGAGCGUAGUAGGUGACGCUCUGUAGUUUCUGUAUACCAUCAGAUGUAUGAAUGUGGUGGAAGCUAAAGAAGUAUGUAAGGAGCGCAGUAGGUGGCGCUCUGUAGUUUCUGUAUACCAUCAGAUGUAUGAAUGUGGUGGAAGCUAAAGAAGUAUGUAAGGAGCGUAGUAGGUGGCGCUCUGUAGUUUCUGUAAGUUUAUGUACAUAUGUGUAUAUAAAAUAUCGCCUCGACUCAAAAUAAUAAAAGGUUGUGUAUAUCAGUAUAUUUAUAAGAUUGCCUGUAGUUAUAAGGUAUAAUAAAAAUAAGUCAGGUUUUCCUUCCUGACGCUAUAACUCCAGAACGCACGAACCGAUUUCCACGGUUUUGCAUUCGUUGGAAAGGUCUCGGGCUCCGUGAGGUUUAUAGCAAAGAAAAUUCAGGAAAACAGGGAAAAUCAUUGGUGGCGAAACGAAGUUCGCCGAGUUUGCUAGUAAAGUAUAAUAAUUUAAGUUAUAUUUUAAGGGCCAGUC